UAAAUAGAGAUCAUUCUCUCACAAUAUUUCCUAAUGUCAUUUGUACUAAAUCAUUCACUAGUAUUCACAAAAGGAGAGCUUGAACCUAUGUACUUGUGUAAACCCUUCACAAUUAAUGAGAACUCCUUUACUCCGUGGACGUAGCCAAUCUGGGUGAACCACGUACAUCUUGUGUUUGCUUCCCUGUCUGUAUCCAUUUACAUACUU
rnacentral:lncRNA from 1 species